UACGUAGGGUGCGAGCGUUGUCCGGAAUUAUUGGGCGUAAAGAGCUUGUAGGCGGUCUGUCGCGUCUGCUGUGAAAAUCCGGGGCUCAACCCCGGACUUGCAGUGGGUACGGGCAGACUAGAGUGUGGUAGGGGAGACUGGAAUUCCUGGUGUAGCGGUGAAAUGCGCAGAUAUCAGGAGGAACACCAAUGGCGAAGGCAGCACUCUGGGACGUGACUGACGCUGAGACGCGAAAGCGUGGGGAGCAAACAGG
rnacentral:rRNA from 1 species